UACGUAGGUGGCGAGCGUUAUCCGGAUUUACCGGGUGUAAAGGGCGCGUAGGCGGGGAUGCAAGUCAGAUGUGAAAUCUAUGGGCCCAACCCAUAAACUGCAUUUGAAACUGUAUUUCUUGAGUGCUGGAGAGGUAGACGGAACUCCUUGUGUAGCGGUGAAAUGCGUAGAUAUAAGGAAGAACACCAGUGGCGAAGGCGGUCUACCGGACAGUAACUGACGCUGAGGCGCGAAAGCGUGGGGAGCAAAC
rnacentral:rRNA from 1 species